rnacentral:rRNA from 1 species
UACAGAGGUCUCAAGCGUUGUUCGGAUUCACUGGGCGUAAAGGGUGCGCAGGCGGCCGAGUGUGUGAGGCGUGAAAGCCCGGGGCUUAACCCCGGAAUUGCACCUCAAACUACACGGCUAGAGCAUUGGAGAGGGUAGCAGAAUUCACGGUGUAGCAGUGAAAUGCGUAGAUAUCGUGAGGAAUACCAGAGGCGAAGGCGGCUACCUGGACAAUUGCUGACGCUCAGGCACGAAAGCGUGGGGAGCAAAAGGG